rnacentral:lncRNA from 1 species
GUCGUGAGACUCGAUCAGUUUUUCUUCGUGCUAAAUCACCCUGUCUCGUCGCUGUCCAAUAUCUUGUCGUCCUGAGACUCGAUCAUUUUUUCUUCGUGCUAAAUCACCAUGUCUCGUCGCUGUCAAAUAUCUUGUCGUCGUGAGACUCGAUCAUUUUUUCUUCGUGCUAAAUCACCAUGUCCCUUGAUCCAUAUGAUUCGGUUCGCGUAUGGCUGCAUGCCCUAUCAUUGUCCACACUGCAUGCCCUUUCCCUGUCCACUAGCCUAUAGUGGGACUCAACAAAACAUUUCGUGCAAAAUCACCAGGUGUUAGGCUGGUUGUAAUGGAGUACUAAUAUCAUGUGUAUGAUGUUAUAUCCUUAAUGCAUAGUAUCAUACGAAAAUUCAUUUCUUGUCAUGCAUAAUACAUACUAGCACAACAUCUAAUAUGAUACGUUAUCAUGUUAUGAUACUCAACUUUUUCUUUCUUCAUUUACUUAUAUGCCACCUCAUCAAAUAUGUCUAGUUGGCAUGCAUGAUACCACAUAUGAUACUCCCAUUACGUUCAGCCCUAGAGAGGUGAUAGAUGGUGGUCUCACUGAUGCUUUCUUGUCUUCCAAGUUCUUGCCUUGUCUCAUUACCCGCAUCUGAUCCUCCGCCCGGUACCCUAACGUCGCCUCCCCGGGAGGCGGCAUGCUCCCUCUCCCUUCGUCGGCCCCUCCUUCCUCCCUCCCCCCCACCGCCCCCGGCCCUGAGUAAGGUGGGGUCAACGGCGGCGAGAACUUCAGUCCCCGCGCGUGCGUCUCCCCUUCCCGGGGUAGGAGGCGGCGGCGGUGCUCCUCGGUAUGGCAACGGCCCGGCGGACCCGCGGUUGUGGCCAGCGGCACGUGGGGUGUUGGCGCAGCCUCUUGGCAACGCGACGGUGUGCUGGCGCGGAGUGGCCGGUGGCGCACCCACGGCCCUGAUCUGGGCCCUACGGGCCCCAUCUUGGGUCCUAGAGGACCGGCCCCGGCAUGACUUUGUGGUCUUAUAUGUGGUGAGGAGGAGGAGGAGCUCAGAUGGGGCGCGGCGACAUAGAUGGCGUGCCUGCUGUAGCGCGAUGGCGGGAGCUUUACGAGCGUAUGAGGGGUCGGCCAGCCUGUGGGCCCACAGACCUGGUAUGCUCCUGCUAUUGUGUCCGAUCGGCUGCCGUCGUUGACGGUGGAGGUUGAGCCCUCCCGCGUGUCGACGAUGCUGCUACCUCUAGUCACGACUCCUUUUCGUCGUUGUGCACAUCUCACCNNNNNNNNNNNNNNNNNNNNNNNNNNNNNNNNNNNNNNNNNNNNNNNNNNNNNNNNNNNNNNNNNNNNNNNNNNNNNNNNNNNNNNNNNNNNNNNNNNNNNNNNNNNNNNNNNNNNNNNNNNNNNNNNNNNNNNNNNNNNNNNNNNNNNNNNNNNNNNNNNNNNNNNNNNNNNNNNNNNNNNNNNNNNNNNNNNNNNNNNNNNNNNNNNNNNNNNNNNNNNNNNNNNNNNNNNNNNNNNNNNNNNNNNNNNNNNNNNNNNNNNNNNNNNNNNNNNNNCCCCCCCCCCCCGGCCCAACCGUAACUAACAGUCCUUCAGGCUAUUUACUGAAUAUUGUCUGACAUGUCUUUUGCUAUCACAUUCGACUUUCAGCAGACAGUGCAGCAGACAUGGCAUAGGAAAUCGAGAAUAACAAGUAUAGAGCGGAAGGGAAUGAAACUCACCCUGCAACAUGAUCUAAUUUCAGAUUUAGCUUACCCACAUGCAGCGCAUCUGCUUGGACCUUGACCUUAGUGACCACACUGCUCUGCCUCAGGCACGAUGGUCGCCGCAGUCCAGCCCAACGAGCACGAGCGCACUGAGCUAGGGGCCACUAUCCACGAGGCGGAGUGGACGCAAAGUGGCCGCGGUGUGCGAUGGGGAGGAGCACCUGGAGAUGCGCCGACGGUGGAUGCGAAGCCGCAGCCGAAACCCUAGCCCACGGGGUUGGGUUCGCACGAGAGCGCCAGAUACUAGGAGCGGUGGAUCCAGCAGGACUUGAGAAGACGGGAGGGGGAAGGCCGGCGGCGAUAUUUGGGAGGAGGUAGGAGACGAGGUGCUGCUGGGUGGCGGCGGCUAGGAGAUGGUGGGGAAUCGAGAGUAGUGGAUGAGGAGAAUGGUUCCAGGGUUAGCUUUUUAUGCGGGAAUAGUUACACGGGCUUUAGCGGGCUCGUGGGUGCUGNNNNNNNNNNNNNNNNNNNNNNNNNNNNNNNNNNNNNNNNNNNNNNNNNNNNNNNNNNNNNNNNNNNNNNNNNNNNNNNNNNNNNNNNNNNNNNNNNNNNNNNNNNNNNNNNNNNNNNNNNNNNNNNNNNNNNNNNNNNNNNNNNNNNNNNNNNNNNNNNNNNNNNNNNNNNNNNNNNNNNNNNNNNNNNNNNNNNNNNNNNNNNNNNNNNNNNNNNNNNNNNNNNNNNNNNNNNNNNNNNNNNNNNNNNNNNNNNNNNNNNNNNNNNNNNNNNNNNNNNNNNNNNNNNNNNNNGCGGGCUCGUGGGUGCUGUAGGGGUGCGCGGGCUCGUGGGUGCUGUAGGAAAACGUCAAGCAAAAUCCGUCGUGUAUUAACAGGUUUCUGGUAGUGUAUUCAGAUGUUCAAAUGAUCUAGACGUCAUAACAGACAUCACGUAAUAAAUUUUCUACCAUGCAAAUAAAAUAUGUAAUUGUUUGAGUUUUCCUAGGAUUUUUUGUGUGUGAUUUCUGACCGGGUGGAGGUAAACCUGGACACCAAAGCGCUGCACUCCAUACUAUACAUAUUUUGUAUUAUAUAUGUUAAUAAUUUUUAAUAUAAAUUUGGUCAAACUUUAUAAAGUUUAACUUGAUAAAAAUCUUAUACGUGAAGGGAGUAUUGUGAGAUGGAGUAAUAGUAAGACGGUGGUGAAGAUGAUGGUUGCUUUUGCAUGACGUUCUUUAGAGUCUUGAUCGAAAAUUAUGGUUUAAUUUGUAUACAGACUGUUUUUGAUUGUUCAAAUUUGACGCAAAUCAGCAGAAUUGAUGAAGAAUUGUAAGUUUGAUUUUUUUAUAGUUUGUGGGCUGACGAGGGCCGCGGUAGAACAGAACCCGCAUCGAGGAACUGUAAAACGAAACAUUUAUAGUUCCACGAUGCGGGUUAUGUUCUACUGCGGUCCUCAUCAGCCUGUAAAAAAAGAUUUUUGCAAACUGUAAUUAUGUGAUACACGUCCGCAAUAUACGGGAUGUGCUAAAGUUGCUCUUAUAGGUCUAGCUCCCUGAUCAAAUGUCUAGUCCUAUUAGAUCGUGGAGAGAAAAGAGGCACGGGAGGACCUAGAGCCAGUCUGAUAGAAAUUGAGAGGACGCCAACAUCACAACAUGAAGAGAAAGGAGAUGGAGACAUCGGACCCUGGAGAGAAAAUUGACAUAGGACAAUGUGGUGGUUGUGGCGGCUCGAUCCUAUAGCUAAUCUGAUAGAUACCGGAAGUAGGGCGACAUCAAGACAUGGACCGAAAGAAGAGAGAGGCAGAAAACAGUUUGAUAAUGAUAUUGCUCCGGACUCUUGGUGAGGAUGAUUACGGUGAAAGGAGUCAUCUUUUUUUCUUUUGCUUUUACGAGGUGAAAUGACUCAUCUCAACUGUUCAUCUAAUCAUGUUUUUAUCCAAUGGUUAAUAAUUAUUUAAGUGUGACAAUUAACAGGGUGCCUCAUAGUGCCUCUAAUUAGAAGAUAGAAUAGAAUAUGCUCCUUUGAUGAAAGCGUUUUUUUUCAUUUUUUGAACACAUGAUAAAUACCCUGUUUUCAAUCACGAGUCAGUAAUGGUACGUUUAGAAAAUGACUUGUCAGAAUGACCAGUAAAAUUAUUGAACUAUUUAGUAUUUUUUAUUUUGCGGGUGGCUGUACUAGAUAUUGCAAGUGGUCCUGUCAUUUUCCUCUUUAUUUGUAUGUUGUAGCACGCUACUGUAUUCUGCUAGUACCCCGGUGCAUUUUAGUAUGCACAUAAAAAAAUUAAAAUCAAAGUAUCUCUACCUUAAUCAAAUUUAUAAAAGAAGUAUCAACAUUUAAAAUGCCAAAUUAACAUUGUUAGAUUCAUUAUGAAAUGUAGUUUCAUGGUACAGAUAUUGGUACUGUAGGUGUCGAUAUUUUUAAAUAUAAAUUAGCUCAAAUCAUAUAAAGUUUGACUUGAUAUAAAUCUAAUACGUGAAAUAAAAAAGAUGAGAAGGAGUACAUCUUUUUCGUUUGGAUAUGAUGGUACGUGUUCCGAAAAUAUGGUGAUGGCAGCGAGGAAGCAGGGGGAGGGGGAGGUGGUAGACCGGCGAGCUGCUCCUUCCUGAUGUCGUCCACACGUACUGGGAAGGUGAGGGGGAGGAGGAAGCGGUGCAGGCGGUGGAGGAGGUGGUGGAGGCGUCGGUCCGGCUGAGCAGGAGGCGGUGGAGGCAGUCCGGUGGUGGAUGCGGCGGAGGAGGAGGCGCUCCGGUGGUGGGGGAGGUGGUGGAUGCGACGGUCCAUCGGAAGAGGCGGUCCGACAGUGAGCAGCGGAGGCGCGGGCCGGUGGCUGGAGAUGGGCGCUGUAGGAGGGGGAGGGGGGAGGCAGCGGCCAUGAGGAGCGGGCGAGUGGCUGCGGCUAAGAUGGGCGCUGCGGGAGGGAGGUGGGUGAGGAGCGGCUGUGGUUGCGUCUGAAAGCAAAGGCUGGGCGACUGCAGCUGUUUUUUCCACCGAUGUGAACGCAGGGAAAUGGGCCUGAUUGGGUGGUAUUGGAAACUGAAGAUGACGUGACAAUCAGUGACGUGGAUAGUCUGCAUGUUGUAUGUCGACUACUCCCUCCGUUCUUAAAUAUAAUUUUUUUUUUAAAUUUCACUAAAAGACUACAUGCGAAGCAAAAUGAGUGAAUCUAUAUUCUAAAAUAUGUCUAUAUACAUCCGAAUGUAGUCUACUAGUGAAACCUCUAAAAAGAUUUAGAAACGGAGAGAUUGGUUUUAUAUAACAUGACAACUCUUUAUUGUUGAUUAAGUGGUUGUAUUAUUAACCAUGCUUUUAAUGACAGCUUUGGUGAAGCUAGCUGCACAAAAUGAGUGAAUCUAUAUUCUAAAAUAUGUCUAUAUACACCUGAAUGUAGUCUACUAGUGAAACCUAUAAAAAGACUUAUAUUUAAAAAAAAAGAAAUUAUUAGAUUGGCUUUAUAUAACAUGACAACUCUUUAUUGCUGAUUAAGUGGUUGUAUUAUUAACCAUGCUUUUAGUGACAGCUUUGGUGAAGCUAGCUGCAUCGUGAAAGAUUUUUAAAUCAGCGGCGUGUUCGUGGCUGUGCUUUUAUCAACUGCGGCAGUGGGAAAGCUUGCUGCCCAGUCCAUGUCCAUCCAUAGGCAAUACACCAUAUACCACAACAAACAUGGGUUGCGCAACAAAUCUCGAACGUAUGGUACGUCUUGGUCUGCUUUAUUUGCAGCUGCGUAUGUUCAAGUUGUCUGCCGAACCCUUGCACCGACAACACCCAUCCACAAUAAUUCCAAAUCGUGGGCUCCAUCGAGAUGAAACAUCGCCAUUCAUGUCAGCGCGCAUGCCAUCGGGAGGUACGACUGGAGGAGAAGCGAGAGAGUGACCAGGCGAACCAAUUAAAUAAAGUGCCAUGUUGUUAAUAUCGGUCAUCAUUGCUCCCUUCAAUUAGAGGUCGUCGCUCUUUGGUCUCCUCCUUAGCCUUCAUAGUCUUUUUUUUUAUGGAACAGGCAGGAGCGCUGCCCUUUAUUAAGAAGAAGCUGAAAUCAUUUUUAAGUUAAAAUGGGACAAGAUUUACCAGGUGAAAAAAGGGGUACAAAUUAAAGUUGAAAGCAUUUUCUCAGCUAAAGCCAGAUUGACAUAGUAAAUAGAUAUACCUCAUCCGUGUGACAUGUCGGUGGAUGUAAAAUACUUGAAACAUGGAAGCACCUCUUAGAACAUAUGUGUUGCCUUGUUUUGAUAUCGCUUGUGAACUGAUUCUACGAGCAGCCCUCUGGCAGAACCCGCAGCACCCCUACCCAGCUGCUACUUCACUCUCCUCCUCCCCUCGCCUUCACCAGAGGGCGUCCCUGGGAAGUGAUCACGUAGCGGCGACGCCAGCAGGGUUGUUCUACUUUGUAGUGGUUCAUCCUCUCUUAUCCUCAUCGUGGCCCUACCGGUGGGAUGACCACAAUUUUACCAGUGUCCAAUGGUCGUCGAGGCGCGGUUCUGGGAUGUCACCAUGGUUGGCUCGGUGUGUGGACUUCUCUGCACAUCGAUGCCUGUUGAGGCAGAUGGGUGCGUGUUAUAUGAUGGGGCUUAUCCCAUGGUUUGCAUACAAAUUGUUACAAAGCUUGAGAAUCAAGCAAGUGGUUUAAACUGCUUACAAGAUAGGCACAAGCCAAGCUCACAACUAAUAUAUCUCUACGUAGCAGAAUUGUAGGGGGCGCCCUCCUGGAUAUCAUGUAUGUUAACGUCUUCAAUAGCUUCACAUAGAUGAGAUACCCUCAGCUGAAAACCCAUCGACAACAGGAGCCAUAUCAUCAACUAUGGUCCCCAACGCAACAACUCAUCCCUAGGAUGUUCUUGAGCGCGUAAGGACCUCACGGCAGCCGCUGCGCUGACGGACAUCAGACAUGCUCCUGGGCAUGCUGGCUAGAAGCGCCGCACUGUCAUCGUUGCAUGACCUAUGUAGCUCUGCCUCAGCCUCUAUCUGCCUCUUGUCCCACUGAAUGAGCUCGGUUUAGACGUCCUUCAUGGUCGGCCGGUUACGCGGGUAUUCACUCGUGCAUGACACGCCGAGUUUGAACACCGCUAAGAUAUCAGAAGAGUGAGCUGGAUCACGGAUAUUGUUGUCGAUGAUGUCGUCGGAUAGAUUGGAUAGCCUAGAUGCCCAUCCGGCCAGGCUUUGAUAAUCUUGAACGGCAAUGUCCGAGCUUUGACUUUCGUGAAUGGCAGCCUUGCCGGUGGUCAGCUGUAAUAGAACGACGCCAAAACUGUAAACGUCAACCUUCUCGUUCGCCCUUCCAUAUGACGAUUCUGCAAAAUUCACCUGAAUUAGUGUUCAAUAGUAAAUUAUAAAAUAUUGAUACGACUUGCUGGAUUUGAGAUUCUCACCAGGGGGCAUGUACCCGAAUGUCCCUUGGAGGUGUGGCUCAUAGGAAUCGCCUGGUACAACAAGCAUCCGAGCGAGCCCAAAGUCGUAGAUCUUUGCAUUGAACUCUGGGUCAAGCAAGAUGUUUUCUGGCUUGAUAUCCCCGUGGAUGAUAGGAGCCUCUCCACGCUCAUGGUGCAUGUAGUUCAGCCCCUUGGCCACAUCAAUAGCAAUGGCCAGCCUCCUCGGCCAGUUCAAUAGUUCUGGACCCACAUUGUCCCGGCGGUGCAGCCAGUGAUGGAGGCUGCCCUUCUCCAUGUACUCGUAAACGAGCAGGUUGGCAUCUCAGCCGGAGAUACUGCACAACAGCUUGACGAUGUUCCUAUGCCUGACGCUGCCCAAUGUCUGCACCUCCGAGUCAAACUGCCUCUGGUCCAAAUUUAUCGUGAGGCAUAUCUUCUUUACAGCCACGAUUUUGCUACUGCGAUCCUGGGUGGCACCAUCAAGGCUAGGGAGGUGGACACGGUACACAAUCCCAGAGCCACCUCUGCCGAUUAUGUUCUCCUCAAAUAUAUUAUUGACCACGUCGUACACGGUGAAGUCCAAAGAUGUGAAUGAUAUCAUUUUCCAAUCACUGACGACCUCUGUCACCACUUGUGUGUUCUUCCAGCUACGGAAGAACCGCCAUAUUACGAUGCUCAUGAUAACAAUGAACAGAGUGACACCAAGCACCGACAAGAUUAUCAUAUUAGUCUUCGACAUGUGGGUGCUUUUGUGGCAUUUUGGGAGAUUUAUCGUCCAGUCCCGCGUUGCACAAAGCCCCUGGUUGCCAAGGAAACUACGGUUGUACUUCGCAUCUUGCAGACUGAGGGGCACCUCCCCACUGAGCUGGUUCAGUGACAAAUUCAGGGAUGUAAAUGAGUGGCUGUCCCAGUCAGGCGGAAUGUCACCUGUUAGUUGGUUGUUGGACAAAUCAAGAACACCCAAGGCUGACAUCAUCCCUAUGCUUACUGGUGGUAUUGUGCCUGAUAUAUUAUUAUUGCUGAGGUCAAGUGACAUGAGACUUUGCAAUAAUUUAAUCGAUGUUGGUAUUGGUCCAGAGAUCUUGUUCCCAGACAACAACAACAACACAGUAAGUGUGCGGAGAUUGUUUACGUCGACCGGUAGCUCUCCCGAGAACUGGUUAUUCUGCGCCGUCAGGAUCAACAAUCCAGUCGCAGAUGAUGGGAUGGGACCGGAGAACCGGUUGUUUUGCAUCUCAAUUCUAGAGAUAUUCGAAGAUAUCUCGGUCGGCAAAGUGCCAGUCAAGCUGUUGUAUGAUAUUUCCACUUUUGUCAGCAAUGGCAACAACCAUAUAUUUUUUGGGAACUCCCCAGAGAAGUUAUUAUUCGAGAUCAUGAUGUUCUUCAAUGAGAGGCAAUUCUGGAUGCUCGUCGGGAACUCACCGGAAAAGUUGUUGUUCAUGACUGCUAAGUCGUAGAAUACUCCACUGUCACAUAAGUGCUCUCGGAGUGAGCUAGACAAGCUGUUGUUGUAGACCUCAAUCACAAAAAGUGCCGAAUGCAUCCCAAGCUCUGGUGGUAGCUCACCCGAGAGCAUAUUGUUUAUAUAGCUGGAUGAGUUGGAGGUUGGGAAGGACUCCAAUGCUUCUGGGGAUGGAACCCAAGAGCUUAUUGUUAUAUAUCCUAAGUCCUUGGAGGUUAGGAAGGAGUCCAAUGCUUUUGGGGAUGGGGCCGGUGAACUCAUUGCUGCCUAGACUGAUGAAGCUUAGUGUCUUGAGAGUCCCAAGAACUUCUGGUAUGUUUCCAUUGAGCUUGUUGUUCGAGAGGUCAAGUUCCUCCAACUUGAGCAUCGUGAUAUUGAGAGGAAGCUCCCCGGUGAAUUCAUUGUCAUACAGGUAUAAUUUCUCGAGCUUUUGGUGUUGCCAGAUCCAUACAGGGAUUGAACCAUUGAAAUGGUUCCCCCACAUGUCCAACACCCGUAGCUCCUUUAGGUUUGAAAAUGAAUCUGGAAUCUCACCGGUGAAGCCAUUGCUGUCAAGAAGCAGCUCCUGGAGCGCUGAAAGCUCGGCUAUCGCCGGCGGCACAACACCACUGAAGUUGUUAUCAGUUAGGUUUAGAUACUUCAUAAAUGGUGAUAGCCUACUAAUGUCAUCAGGAAGUGCUCCAUAGAAGGCAUUGUGGGAGAGAUCAAGGAAUCGGAGCCUGGAGCAGGCGUAUAGCAGGAUGCGAGGAAAUCUCUCGGUGAGAUUAUUAUAUGAAAUGUCAAGAUGGGUGAGGUACUUGAGGUUGCACAUAGACGGAGGGAUGCUGCCGCCCAGAUUCAACCUCUUAAAGGAAAUCCCUGUAACUAGGCCUCCACCGCGUGUCACGCAGGUGAUACCAGUCCAGCUGCAAUGGUUAGUCGUAUUCCACGACGCAAGCUGCAGGGGGCUGCCCCACUCGUUCUUGAUAUCUAGGAGUGUAUGAAGCUCUGUGGUCGUGGUUCGUUCAUGGCGGAGUGGCCGAGCAGCGUCGGAGCGGUCAGGUGCAAGGAGGAAGACCGCGGUGAGGAGAGCGGCGAUGGGGAGAAGGAAAACAUGGGAUUGGGGCAUUUUCACGGCCCGAAGGUGAGAGAAGAAUGUUAGAAGAAUUCUUAUUUUCUUUUCCACAAGAAUGGCAGAAGAAUCUAGGCACUAUAGUCGAGUGAAAGGGGUGGCUGAUGAAUUUGAAGUCGUCGUCGAAGAACGAAUGCUGCUGUUUGUGUCGAAGAGGUCACCACACGAACACCGGGCCUCGCCACCAGACCACUGACCAAGUCCAGUCCUCGGAUUUCGGGUGGCCAAGGUGAAACUAGAUGCAAGACCCUUCACAGAAACAUUAAAAAAAUUAAUAUAUAAAAGAAGAUAUGCUGAAUCGUGAGCCAUAAAAAACAAUAGUUUUUCUCUUGUAAGUCUCUUUCUUCACUAAUAUAUCUAAUCAAGACUAACCGAAUGUUUGCAUCACAAUCUAAGAACGGGUACAUCCAUCAAGACCUUAAAUGCCCGUGGCCACUCACUUUUUUAUGUAAAGCUCUCUGGACUUAAUGGAUUAAUAUUAGUUUAUUCCUUUAUUGCAACUAUCAACAUGUCGUCGGACUAAAAAUGUAAUAAUCCAAAUUUACACCUAAUAAUAAAGGGAGUAUUUAUUUUUGCUGUGUGUCAUGAAAAUUGCCCCUAUAAUUGCCAAUAAUUACACCUAUGCAACCCGAGUAAAUGAAAAAAUAAUUUGUUUCACUGAAUAUACCGUUUACUUUGGGAAGUGCUAUUCUGAGCUCGAGCUCAUAUGCUCUCGGAUGAACAGUAAAAUCUACAGUCCGGAUUUAAGUGAGAAAACGAAUUUUUUUUUGUAAUUUUACAGAAAAUCCACUGUGCUUUUCCGAAAUCAACCCGCGGUCAGGAUUCCAGGGCGGAUCCAUGCCGUAGCCGCUAGCCCGCAGCCUGCCGAGCCGCGUUCCCUACAGUCCCGUGCCCGAGCAGAGGGGCUCGAGCCAGCCCCGCGCCGCCGUCGCCCGUGACCGCCGGAGCCCCCGCCGGCCGCUGCCUUCGCCCCGCGCUGCCUAGCCUCGCCGGCAGCCACAACCACUGAAGCAUCUGGGAGGCGAUUUUAUCAUCCAAGACUUUUAUAUGGUUAAGCUCAUGUUCAAAAGUCAUCUUGGAAUUUUUUUUCCCCAAUACACGGUGUUAAUGCAUAGGAAUAGAAGACACAUGUAUGUAUGGUUCAUACCCGAUAAGCCCAUCAUUUCAUAGUAAAUUGCAAAAGCGACAAUAAUUGGUUACAAUUGAAGAAUUAAAAAAGAACUACAUAACUAUACGUGACAAUGAAUGGAAUAUGUACGUAGGAAGAGGACAUCUCAACAACCACAGGACAUCUCAAGAGGACAUCUCAACAACCACGGCAGCGAUCGAUAGCUGGAGACCACUUUGGUUCAUGGUUGCACAUAUGAUCGAUAGCUGGAGACCACUUUGGUUCAUGGUUGCACAUAUCUCACAUAACGAUUUGUCCCUAUCACUAUAGCCGAAGAUUUCGCACUCAAAUCUUCACACUUUACUACAACUAAUUUUCUUAGUGCGAAAUCACCAGGUCGCUUCAUUCAUGUUAUUAGGUCCACGUAAGGCUGCAUGCCCCGCGUAAGACUCAACAGUUUUCUUCGUACGAAAUCUGUCUCAUUCAUGUGAUUCGGUUCAACUAUGGCUGAAUGCCCAUCACUUUCCACAGUACCGCUGCCUCGUCGCUGUGCAAUAUCUCGUCGUCGUGAGACUCGAUCAUUUUUUCUUCGUGCUAAAUCACCCUGUCUCGUCGUUGUCCAAUAUCUUGUUAUGGUGAGACUCGAUAAUUUUUUUCUUCGUGCUAAAUCACCCUGUCUCGUCGCUGUCCAAUAUCUUGUCAUCGUGAGACUUGAUCAUUUUUUCUUCGUGCUAAAUCACCCUGUCUUCGCUGUCCAAUAUCUUGUCGUCGUGAGACUUGAUCAUUUUUUCUUCGUGCUAAAUCACCCUGUUUUGUCGCUGUCCAAUAUCUUGUCGUCGUGCCACAUCUCAAAUUUCAACCCUUUCUAAAUUCAUUUUUUUUUUCAUGCACUUGGUGAUUUGUUUUUGUGCUAACUGACCAUGAAAUUGAAAAGGACUACAAAUGAAUGCUAAAAGGUUGAAAUAUGGCAUGGUGUCAUAAUUUCACACACAUAGCAUGUACUAAAAAGUUGAGCGGGUUACGGCAAAAACUGGAUGCACUUUGUGUACAAGCUGGACCAUCUACUUCGAAGAAUGAGGGUUUCGGACGAAAAUUCAUCUGUUACAAAGGCAUUUUUUUUUAAAUUAUUUCAACUCCACACUUUUUGUGAAUUUAAUAUGCAUCAUUCAAUGACACAUCCUUAAAUUUCAACCCUUUCUAACAUCAUUUUCUAUUUUCCAUGCACUUAAUGAAUUUUUUAGCUAAAUGACCCUGAAAUUGAAAAGCACUAUAAAUAAAUUCUGAAAAGGUUGAAAUUUAACAUGUGACACAUAGCAUGUUCUAGAAAGAUGAGUGGGUUACGGAAAAAACUAGAUUCACUCCAGAGCUCACAUACAGAAACAAUAGGUCAGCACGUUAGAGGGGAAAGCAAAAUUUGAUCCAACCGCGUGGUUGAACACGGAUGGAUGCAAGACCAAACCGUGCUGACGGUCCAGGAUGUUCGAAGCUUGAAGUCUUGACAGAUAAGGGUUGUGAUGAGGGGAACAACAAGUGGUUUGCACCAUGUCCCAACCAUAUUUCCAUCUUCCAGAUUGGGAGCAAGCUUAUUUGGUUCAGAAAGGGAAAUUCUUGCUUGAAUUUUAGACUCGAGGGCCCUCAGACAGACUCAAACCAAGGGUGAUUGUCAUUACCUGACUUGAGAGCAUCCUUGUUUGGUUCAAGAAGGAAAAAUCCUUGCAUGAAUUUUAGCUAGUUUCUUUAUGCAUGUAAAAGCAAUGCUCGAAACUAUAACAGAUAUGUGUCAGGAAACCACAUAAGGAGAAUUCUAUGGAGAUAGAGCAAAAAUGGUUGGCAAGAUGAAUGGCACUUGUAGUUGCAUGGAGACAUUUUUUAACCCUGUGGGCCUUAUUUUAAUUAUCAUGGUGGAUCCCAGCUUGUGGCAGCAGUAAUGUAUCUUGGAGAUGUUACUUCCUUGAAAAGUAUGAAUACACUUGAAGGACCGAAAAUAAACAGGUGUACACGUGACAUUUGAUGAAGCAAGGAAAGUUCGUACUUACACUCUAUAUAUAAAUACACUUCUUCUUCGGUACAACCCCAAAUACAAGGACGGCUGAGAUUAAACGAUACCCCUUCGUAACAAAGAGCAGAAUUGUCUUUUCCCCGUCCCGACGUACGCACGUCAGCCCGACGGGCGCCAGCUGACGAAACGGCGACGUACAGGAGGCCCGGUACACGCGUCGUACCCGCGUCCACCCGCUGCGACGUGGCGUCUUCACGUCGGUCUGACAGCGGUCAAUCCGUCGGUUCCCGAGACCGCGACAUUAAUUCCGCGCUGCGUCGUCAGUUCGCGUCGGUUCCCGACGCCGCCGCCAUUAAUCCCGCGCUGCGUCGCCAGUCCGCGCCGGUUCCCGAAGCCGCCGCCAUUAACCACCGCGUCGCCAGCUCAUCGCGUCGGUUCCCGAAGACGACAUUAAUCACCAGUCAGCGCCUCGUCGUCCGAUGCCGUCGUUAGCCCGUUGGUUCGCCGGCUCCCGAGGUGACGCCAUUAAUGACGGCCCCGUCGUCAGAGCCCAUCGCGUCGGUUCUCGAGACCGUCGUCGUUGGCCCGUUGGUUCGACGGCUCCCGAGGCGACGUGCAUUCACUCCGGGGGAGUUACGCCGGCCAGCUUCCCCGUCGCCUCCCCUACCGUCGCGGCGCUAUAUAUACCCGUCGUCCCGCGGCUCGUCGGCACACCCGUCGCUCCCCUGCUCUCCUUCUCUCCCCCGCUCUUCGUCGUCCCGCCGCAGAUCCCCGUCGUCCCGACGUUCUCUUCCUCCCUCCCCCGUUCUCCGACGUCCCGACGGUGGAUCAUGUCGGCGGCAGCAGCUCCGGCGGCGGCGGCGCGCCGGAGAGCAACUGGCGCUAGAGCCUCGACAAGCCGCUGACACAAGAGCUGUACAACUUCGGCCUCCUCGUCCCGCCGGGGUGCCGCCUUGCAAAACCGUGGAGUAUUUGCAAGGACGGCUAUCCGACGCUGGACAACCCCGCGACGCUGGAGCAGCUCCGGGUCCACCCUGGCGACCCCUACAACACCCGCGGCCGGCACGCCUAUUGGGACGGGAAAAACUACAACGACGUCAUCACGCGUUACCGACAGGCGGCGGCGAUCCCCCACCCACCUCCGGCGGCCCCGGUGGUGGCCCCGGCUGUCCCGGCGGAGUACGAGGUGCCGCCGGAAGAGUUUGUCCUCCGCGAGGACGGCGACCCUGACGACUCGCCGGGGCUACUCAUCGCCAUGCGGGCGUCUCAGGCGACGGCGGCGGCGGCGAGGGAAGAGGCGGAGAUCGCGGCGGCGAUCCAGGCGACGGCGGCAGCGGCGGCAGUUGGCAUGCAUGAUACCACAUAUGAUACUCCCAUUACGUUCAGCCUUAGAGAGGUCAUGGAUGGUGGUCUCACUAAUGCUUUCUUGUCUUCCAAGUUCUUGCCUUGUGUGAUUACCCGCAUCUGAUCCUCCACCCGGUACCCU